rnacentral:rRNA from 1 species
UACAGAGGGUGCGAGCGUUGUCCGGAAUCACUGGGCGUAAAGGGCGCGUAGGUGGCUUACCAAGCGUGUGGUGAAAGCCCGGAGCUCAACUCCGGGUCGGCCAUGCGAACUGGCAGGCUAGAGCACGGUAGAGGCCAAUGGAAUUCCGGGUGUAGCGGUGGAAUGCGUAGAGAUCCGGAGGAACAUCUGAGGCGAAGGCGGCCAGCUGGGCCUGAUCUGACGCUGAGGUGCGAAAGCGUGGGGAGCGAACAGG